AGAGUUUGAUCCUGGCUCAGGAUGAACGCUGGUAGUAUGCUUAACACAUGCAAGUCGUACGGAAAUUUUUAGCAAUAAAAAUUUGAGUGGCGGACGGGUGAGUAACGCGUAAGAAUCUUCCUUAAGGAGAGGGAUAACUAUUGGAAACGAUGGGUAAACCCUCAUAUGGAGUCAUCUGAAAAGGGAACCUUUUGGUUUUUCUGCCUUAAGAUGAGCUUGCGUCUGAUUAGCUAGUUGUGGAGGUAAUAGCUCCCCAAGGCGAUGAUCAGUAGCUGAUUUGAGAGAAUGAUCAGCCACACUGGGACUGAGACACGGCCCAGACUCCUACGGGAGGCAGCAGUGAGGAAUUUUUCGCAAUGGGCGCAAGCCUGACGGAGCAAUACUGCGUGGAGGAUGAAGGCUCGUGGGCUGUAAACUCCUUUUCCCAGAGAAGAAGUUCUGACGGUAUUUGGGGAAUAAGCAUCAGCUAACUGCGUGCCAGCAGCUGCGGUAAUACGUGGGAUGCAAGCGUUAUCCGGAUUGAUUGGGCGUAAAGCGUCUGUAGGUGGCUUGUUAAAGUUUGUUGUUAAAUAAUUCAGCUCAACUGAAUUUCAGCAUCAAAAACUGCCAGGCUUGAGUAAAGUAGAGGAAAAGGGAAUUCCCUGUGGAGCGGUGAAAUGCGUAGAGAUAGGGAAGAACACCAAAGGCGAAGGCACUUUUCUGGGCAUUUACUGACACUGAGAGACGAAAGCUAGGGGAGCGAGUAGGAUUAGAUACCCUAUUAGUCCUAGCCGUAAACGAUGGAAACUACAUUUUGAUGAAGCAUCCCGCUAAGGCAGAAUGGUAGCUAACGCGAUAAGUUUCCCGCCUGGGAAGUGUGCUCGCAAGAGUGGGCCCCUAUCGUGACUGGGAAACAGAUCGGAAGAGCACACGUCUGAACUCCAGUCACCUGAAGCUAACUCGUAUGCCGUCUUCUGCUU
rnacentral:rRNA from 1 species